GUUUGAUCAUGGCUCAGAUUGAACGCUGGCGGCAGGCUUAACACAUGCAAGUCGAGCGGGGGCUUCGGUCCUAGCGGCGAACGGGUGAGGAAUGCCUGGGAAUCUGCCUGGUAGUGGGGGAUAACGAUUCGAAAGGGUCGCUAAUACCGCAUACGUCCUACGGGAGAAAGCAGGGGACCUUCGGGCCUUGCGCUAUCAGAUGAGCCCAGGUCGGAUUAGCUAGUAGGUGAGGUAAAGGCUCACCUAGGCGACGAUCCGUAGCUGGUCUGAGAGGAUGAUCAGCCACACUGGAACUGAGACACGGUCCAGACUCCUACGGGAGGCAGCAGUGGGGAAUAUUGGACAAUGGGCGAAGCCUGAUCCAGCCAUGCCGCGUGUGUGAAGAAGGCCUCGGUUGUAAGUACACUUAAGUCGGGAGGAGGGACGUCGUGG
rnacentral:rRNA from 1 species